UAGAGUUUGAUCAUGGCUCAGAUUGAACGCUGGCGGCAGGCCUAACACAUGCAAGUCGAGCGGUAACAGAUCCAGCUUGCUGGAUGCUGACGAGCGGCGGACGGGUGAGUAAUGCAUAGGAAUCUGCCCGAUAGUGGGGGAUAACCUGGGGAAACCCAGGCUAAUACCGCAUACGUCCUACGGGAGAAAGGGGGCUCCGGCUCCCGCUAUCGGAUGAGCCUAUGUCGGAUUAGCUGGUUGGUGAGGUAAAGGCUCACCAAGGCGACGAUCCGUAGCUGGUCUGAGAGGAUGAUCAGCCACAUCGGGACUGAGACACGGCCCGAACUCCUACGGGAGGCAGCAGUGGGGAAUAUUGGACAAUGGGGGCAACCCUGAUCCAGCCAUGCCGCGUGUGUGAAGAAGGCCCUCGGGUUGUAAAGCACUUUCAGUGAGGAAGAACGCCUGGUGGUUAAUACCCAUCAGGAAAGACAUCACUCACAGAAGAGCCG
rnacentral:rRNA from 1 species